rnacentral:rRNA from 1 species
UACGAAGGGGGCUAGCGUUGUUCGGAAUUACUGGGCGUAAAGGGCGCGUAGGCGGUGUGUCAAGUCAGGCGUGAAAGCCCCGGGCUCAACCUGGGAACAGCGCUUGAGACUGGCACGCUCGAGUUCGGGAGAGGAUGGUGGAAUUCCCAGUGUAGAGGUGAAAUUCGUAGAUAUUCGGAAGAACACCAGUGGCGAAGGCGGCUCACUGGCCCGGUACUGACGCUGAUGUGCGAAAGCGUGGGGAGCAAACAGG